rnacentral:rRNA from 1 species
AAGACCUUGCGCUUUUGGAGCGGCCGAUGUCUGAUUAGCUUGUUGGUGAGGUAAAAGCUUACCAAGGCUUCGAUCAGUAGCUGGUCUGAGAGGACGGCCAGCCACACUGGGACUGAGACACGGCCCAGACUCCUACGGGAGGCAGCAGUGGGGAAUUUUGGACAAUGGGGGCAACCCUGAUCCAGCCAUGCCGCGUGAGUGAAGAAGGCCUUCGGGUUGUAAAGCUCUUUCAGCCGGAACGAAACAGUUACGGUUAAUACCCGUGACUACUGACGGUACCGGAAGAAGAAGCACCGGCUAACUACGUGCCAGCAGCCGCGGUAAUACGUAGGGUGCAAGCGUUAAUCGGAAUUACUGGGCGUAAAGCGUGCGCAGGUGGUUUUGUAAGUCAGAUGUGAAAUCCCCGGGCUUAACCUGGGAACU